GUGCCUUAAACUAAUGAGUAAGGAAAAUAUUCGAGCCUUGGUAACGCUUGGCUUACAUACUAGCUAAGAUUUACUAGUCUGUAUUUUUGGAAGGGUACAGGUCGUCCCGUGGGCCUCGCCUACUUUUAAGCGGUUGGUCCUGGUGAAGCGAUCUGCCCU